UACGUAGGGUGCAAGCGUUAAUCGGAAUUACUGGGCGUAAAGCGUGCGCAGGCGGUUAUGUAAGACAGUUGUGAAAUCCCCGGGCUCAACCUGGGAACUGCAUCUGUGACUGCAUAGCUAGAGUACGGUAGAGGGGGAUGGAAUUCCGCGUGUAGCAGUGAAAUGCGUAGAUAUGCGGAGGAACACCGAUGGCGAAGGCAAUCCCCUGGACCUGUACUGACGCUGAGGAGCGAAAGCGUGGGGAGCAAACAGG
rnacentral:rRNA from 1 species